rnacentral:rRNA from 1 species
UGGGGAAUUUUGGACAAUGGGCGCAAGCCUGAUCCAGCCAUGCCGCGUGCGGGAAGAAGGCCUUCGGGUCGUAAACCGCUUUUGUCAGGGAAGAAAUCUUCUGAGUUAAUACCUCGGGAGGAUGACGGUACCUGAAGAAUAAGCACCGGCUAACUACGUGCCAGCAGCCGCGGUAAUACGUAGGGUGCAAGCGUUAAUCGGAAUUACUGGGCGUAAAGCGUGCGCAGGCGGUUUUGUAAGACAGNGGUGAAAUCCCCGGGCUCAACCUGGGAACNGCCUUUGUGACUGCAAGGCUUGAGUGCGGCAGAGGGGGGAUGGAAUUCCGCGUGUAGCAGUGAAAUGCGUNGAUAUGCGGAGGAACACCGAUGGCGAAGGCAAUCCCCUGGGCCUGCACUGACGCUCAUGCACGAAAGCGUGGGGAGCAAAACAGGAUUAGAUACCCUGGUAGUCCACGCCCUAAAACGAUGUCAACU